rnacentral:rRNA from 1 species
AUGAGCAUGUUGAGAUGGAUGUGUGGCCACACAAGGAAGGACCGAGUCCGGAAUGAUGAUAUACGAGAUAGAGUUGGGGUAGCACCGAUUGAAGAGAAGCUUGUCCAACAUCAUCUGAGAUGGUUUGGGCAUAUUCAACGCAGGCCUCCAGAAGCUCCAGUGCACAGCGGACAGCUAAAGUGUGCUGAUAAUGUCAAGAGAGGUCGGGGUAGAUCGAACUUGACAUGGGAGGAGUCCGUAAAGAGAUACCUGAAGGAUUGGAAUAUCACCAAAGAGCUUGCCAUGGACAGGGGUGCAUGGAAGCUUGCUAUCCAUAUGCCAGAACAAUGA